AUUGAACGCUGGCGGCAGGCCUAACACAUGCAAGUCGAGCGAGCGGCGGACGGGUGAGUAAUGUCUGGGGACUGCCCGAUAGAGGGGGAUAACUACUGGAAACGGUGGCUAAUACCGCAUACUAUCGGAUAACCCAUAUGGGAUUAGCUAGGAGGUGGGGUAAAGGCUACCUUAGGCGACGAUCUCUAGCUGGUCUGAGAGGAUGAUAAGCCACCCUGGGACUGAGACACGGCCCAGACUCCUACGGAGGCAGCAGGGGGGAAUAUUGCACAAGGGGCGCAAGCCUGAUGCAGCCAUGCCGCGUGUAUGAAGAAGGCCUUCGGGUUGUAAAGUACUUUCAGCGAGGAGGCGUUACUCGCAGAAGAAGCACCGGCUAACUCCGUGCCAGCAGCCGCGGUAAUAC
rnacentral:rRNA from 1 species